rnacentral:lncRNA from 1 species
AUGCCGCACAACCAGUUGCCUACGGUCCAUGUCAUGCCAAAGUUUUCCGGGCUUUCCUUCCAUCCGCAUCGCCAGUUUUCCAGAGCCCGAAAGCCCCGGAGCCACGUGGGACCGCCCCUUGUGGGUGGGGAAAGGGGAGGAGCUAGUGUCCUGGAGUCAGUGGGCAGGAUACUCAUGAGGAUAAGAGAAGAAUGUGGAGGCCCCUGGAUACACAGAAGGACGCCAUUUCUUAUUGGACUCAGCUUUUCUCCAGGGAGCUCUUCUGUUGAAUUUUCUUUUCAGCAUUGGGUCCACCAGGGGGCAGAUGAAGAAAGGGCCUGGAGAUUUGACCAUGUCAUUGAGCACAGAGCUCCUCACUUUCAGACGUGACCUAACUGGCACUGCUCCUACCCAAGCUGCGAUCACACGGCUAAAUAGGUCUGGCCAGUACAUCAUGACCAUGCCAUGUCUCAUGCUUCAGAUUCCAUUCUCAGCUCCCUAAAGGGCCAGCAGAGUCUGGCGCUGGGACCCUGGCAGGAGCAUGCUAGCAAAAUUCAGGAUUUCUUUAGCCAAGGAAUGGCAGACUGCCAACCUGCAUAAGCAGUAACUUUACAACUGAAACGGAUGUAAAAAACCUGAGAAAGAGAAAAUGGAAGGACAUCCCAGAGAAAAGUGUUUUGUUUUGUUUUUUUUUUUAAGGAAAUAAGGACAGAAAAAUAAGAAAUAAAAUGUCUACAGCAGAGUCUUGUGUCUAUAACUCUCCCUCAAGCUGUGGUUGGAAAAGAACUUUCUGAAAAAGGUGUUCACCUCUGUAAUGAACGUGCUCACUCUGACAGCACUUUUGGUUGACCUGAGUGCACACGGCUGUGCGGCUGACCUUGUUCCGCCAGUGUCCUGACCUCAGCAGCCCUUACUGCUCAGGCAGGAAUGGACUCAGCAGAUGGUACCUGGCAGACAUGCCUCCCAGGUGAUGCAGGAACCUUCUUCAUAGAACCUACUCUAGAACGAAACCUCUGGCUGCUCCCCUGCACCUCACAGGCCAGCUGUCUCACCCCUCGUCAUUGAGCAUAAAGAUCAUUAUCACCCAGGCCACAAACAUGCCGUUUGUUUCCUGGGCUUAGAGAAUCAGGGAAGGCUUCUAAGGGAAGUGCCGUCUCCAAUCCUGUGGGAGCAGCCAGGCCAGGGUGAGAGUGCUCUGGGGAGGGAGGCCAGCUCUUCUGCAGUGAGCAAAAGUAGGAUGCACUUUGGGAACUGGAAUAACAAGUUAGGCAAGUGGCAAGAAAUUAGACCAGGUUCCCCACUCCUCAAAGUGUAGCACGAAGACCGGCAGCACUGGUGUUCCCGGGAAGCUUGUUAGAAAUGCCGAAUUGCUGAUUUAUUGAAUCAGAAUCUUCAUGUCAAGAUCCCCAGGUGGCUGGGCAAGGUGGUUCAUGCCUGUAAUCCUAGUACUUUAGGAGGCUGAGGCUGGAGUCGCGCCUGAACUCAGGGGUUUGAGACUAGCCUGG